GGAAAUGGAAGCUAUUGCCGUUAUUGUUCUUGGUAUCGGUUUAGUUGGUGGUUACCGGCAGUAUUGCAAGAAGCGUGAUCUGGUUUCUCUAAAUAAAGAUUUCGAACUUAAAAGAUGGUGGCGUUUCAGGCGUCAAUUUGUUCCACAAGAGACGUUCAUUGAUCCUCCCGAGAGUUCUUGACAUCCAGAAGACACAUAAUCAAUCAGGUAAUCGAUGAAUACUUCAAGCCAUCCAAUGAUGGAUCAGAGGAAGACUCGUCUCGGAUUCUAGUUAAUUAGUAGGUAGCUAGAAAGGAUUGGAGCCACCUAGAAACGACAACAUUAUAAUAACAACGUACUCUAUAUGCUUGUUGUUAUCAACAGUCUUUCACAACAGGCAAAGAAUGUGCUUUUUAGAAACUAUUACCCCCACAUGCAUCAUUUGCAUAUUUGGUUAUCAAUAACUUACCUCUUGCACGUUUUAAUCAGCAAGUUGUCAAUUAAUUUAUCAAGAAGUAGGCGUGAAUGUUGAUAAAACUUAGAAAAACAGCAGACAAUUGUGUAGGAAUGUUGCCGCUUUAAUCUAAAUUUUAGUGCA